AGAGUUUGAUCCUGGCUCAGAUUGAACGCUGGCGGCAUGCUUUACACAUGCAAGUCGAGCGGCAGCGCGGGGGCAACCCUGGCGGCGAGCGGCGAACGGGUGAGGAAUACAUCGGAACGUGCCCGAGAGUGGGGGAUAACGCCGCGAAAGCGGCGCUAAUACCGCAUAUUCUCUGAGGAGGAAAGUGGGGGACCGCAAGGCCUCACGCUCACGGAGCGGCCGAUGUCGGAUUAGCUAGUUGGUGGGGUAAAGGCCCACCAAGGCGACGAUCCGUAGCUGGUCUGAGAGGAUGAUCAGCCACACUGGGACUGAGACACGGCCCAGACUCCUACGGGAGGCAGCAGUGGGGAAUUUUGGACAAUGGGGGCAA
rnacentral:rRNA from 1 species